UGGGGAAUAUUGCACAAUGGAGGGAACUCUGAUGCAGCGACGCCGCGUGAGUGAUGAAGGAAUUCGUUUCGUAAAACUCUGUUCUAUGGGAAGAAAAGGACUGUACCAUAGGAGAAAGCUCCGGCUAAAUACGUGCCAGCAGCCGCGGUAAUACGUAUGGAGCGAGCGUUGUCCGGAAUUGUUGGGCGUAAAGGGUGCGCAGGCGGCUUUACAAGUUGGAUGUGAAAUAUUGUGGCUCAACCACAAACGUGCAUCCAAAACUGCAAAGCUUGAGUUAAGGAGAGGUAAGUGGAAUUCCUGGUGUAGCGGUGGAAUGCGUAGAUAUCAGGAGGAAUACCGGUGGCGAAGGCGACUUACUGGACUUAAACUGACGCUCAGGCACGAAAGCGUGGGGAGCAAACAGG
rnacentral:rRNA from 1 species